GACGAACGCUGGCGGCGUGCCUAACACAUGCAAGUCGAACGGGGUCCAUGGGAGCUUGCUCCCGGAAGACCUAGUGGCGAACGGGUGAGUAACACGUGAGAAACCUGCCCUGGAGUGGGGAAUAACUCGGGGAAACUCGAGCUAAUACCGCAUACCCUCGGAUGGUCGCAUGGCCGACCGAGGAAAGAUUUAUCGCUUCAGGAGGGUCUCGCGGCCUAUCAGCUAGUUGGUGGGGUAACGGCCUACCAAGGCAACGACGGGUAGCUGGUUUGAGAGAACGAUCAGCCACACUGGGACUGAGACACGGCCCAGACUCCUACGGGAGGCAGCAGUGGGGAAUCUUGCGCAAUGGGCGAAAGCCUGACGCAGCAACGCCGCGUGCGGGAUGACGGCCUUCGUGGUUGUAAACCGCUUUCAGCAGGGACGAAAAUGACGGUACCUAGCAGAAGAAGCCCCGGCUAACUAACGUGCCAGCAGCCGCGGUAA
rnacentral:rRNA from 1 species